UACGUAGGCAGCGAGCGUUGUUCGGAGUUACUGGGCGGAAAGGGGGUGUAGGCGGUCCCUUAAGUUUGGUGUGAAAUCUCCCGGCUCAACUGGGAGGGUGCGCCGGAUACUGAGGGGCUAGAGUGCGGGAAGGGAAAGUGGAAUUCCUGGUGUAGCGGUGAAAUGCGUAGAUAUCAGGAGGAACACCGGUGGUGCAAACGGCUUUCUGGACCGUAACUGACGCUGAGACACGAAAGCGUGGGGAGCAAACAGG
rnacentral:rRNA from 1 species